UUGUCGUCGGUUUUCCUGUUCUGCGGUGCUUUUUCUUUGUGGGUGUUUUGUUCGUUGAUAUCUUUCUGAUAAUGAUCAUUCAUCGACGCCCACAGCUCUAAGGAUGUGCGCACGUGCACGCCCCACACAAACCAUUGCCACGUAUUCCGCACACGUGCGCUAAAGAGCGCACAGCUUUGAAUACAUGUGGCUGCGUAUUAUUAGUUACCUGCGUGGUUGCCGAUGACUGUUUUCCUACCAAGAGAGACAAUCGGAAUGGAGCACGCAACCCUUCUCCACCCACCCCACACCCUUCUCUCUCCUCCUUUCCAUCUCAGCACGCACGUAGAUGCUGUCGCGAAUGAGGAGAGCCCAGCGAAGGGAAACGGAGAGGGACAAACAGUAUUAACCCAAUAAAGCGAUCUGUAGCGUCGGUGCCCCGUCCAUACUCUCUGUCGUUGUUGUUGUACCCCCCCCUCUUCUUCCCCUUCUCCUCUUUGUCUUUCUACUUGUCUUGUGUGCGCUGCUGUGCAUUUCGCGUUUGCUUCUCCGCCUCGUCGGCUCCUGCCUGCUCGCUGAUGCCUCGCUGAUCUUUCCUUUCUGAGUGUUGUACGCCAUGGGCAUACAUGUACG
rnacentral:misc_RNA from 1 species